rnacentral:lncRNA from 1 species
ACCCGAGAGUAUAGCUCACAGUGGUGAGUCAGAGCUUUACAGUUUGUAAUGAACCUCAAUGAGGAUGGUGAUGGUGGUGGUGGUGGUGGUGGUGAUGAUGAUGAAGUUGAUGAUGAUGAUGAUUGGUGAUUGGUUGAUGGAAGUAGUGGUGGCAAGGAUUUCCAACUGUAUCUAUGAAUUUACAGUACAGUGUUGACAUGACUGAACUAGAUAAUAAUGACCAUUGACACAUCACUGUAACCGAGUUACCAUUAACUCUAAUCACUAAAUAAGAUCUUUGGCUUUUACCGACUGUUGAAGUUCAAGUUUGCUUAUGUUUGUUGUAUACACAUCCUUCUCCCCUCUAGACCUACAAGAGUUGUUUUAUAUUAGAGUCUGGUGUGGCACGGAAUCUCCACAAGCCAUACGAGAUCAUGAACCUGGAGCUCAAGCAACCACUUGACCUUCUCUCAGGAAGACAGCGCUAUUUAUGUUUUCACCGUCAGGAUUUUGGACCCAAAUUAUAGCUUCUGCGAUCUGAGAACCAUCUUUGCUGUCCAGACAUAUGGAAUCUCUAAACCGAUCUAUGAGCAUCUUAUCCCUUACGUCACACUCAGCAUCACCUUCAUAUCUCUUUGUAUCCUAGGUUACAGUUACUACAGAUAUGUGUAUAUAUUCCGUAAAUUACAAGAAAGGGCAAAAGCUAAAAAUACUUAAAAACUCUGUAUACAGCAGUCUGCUCCACAGGGUACAGGGUACAGGGGCUUGAUAUUUGUCCAAGCCUCAUACGUUUUAAAAUGGUGUUAUUUUAAGGUUUUUAAGUCAACGGAAAUAUAUAUAAAAAAAUUGAUCAGUUUAUAAAAAUAUGUUUAAUAAAGCUUGAUGUUAACGGUGUUUGGUGAUAAGA